rnacentral:lncRNA from 1 species
UAUCUAUUUUUUUUUCUCUUUACUUAUUUUUACUAUGUCUUUUUGAUUCUGACAAAAAGGGGGAGAAAGUAAUUAUUAGCUCUGAUGAAAAUAUUGUCUAAAACCAUCAAGCAUUCUGCAAACAUUUUUUUUUAUAUAAACAAAAUUAUUUAACUUGGACUUAAGAAAUUGCAGAAAAUCUCAGAAACCUCUUUACUUAAGAAACUCUGGUAAGAACUUCAGAAC